rnacentral:lncRNA from 1 species
UCCCGCAGCCGGUUCGUCCCCGCGGGGCGGCGAAACGGGAGAGAAAACCCCGCAGCGCUGCCGGGACCAGCACGGCGCCAUCCCGGCACCGAACCGCCCCGGUUCCCAUCGGACAACACCGGCAGCGGGGCGGCCCGGUUCGGUUCUCGGCCCGGUUCUGUUCACGGCCCGGUUCUGUUCUCGGCCCGGUUCUGUUCGCGGCCCGGUUCUGUUCUCGGCCCGCAGCAGCAGCACCGCGCGGCGCUUCUCCGCCUGUCCGCCUCGUAUCGGCUUUUCGGCCCCGUUAUUUCCCUUUUUCCCCCGAUUUCUGCCCCAUUUCUCCCCUAUUUCCCCCCCUUUCCUCCCCGUUUCCUUCCCCAUUUCCUCCCAUUUCCUUUUCCUUCCCCCCUUUCCUUUCCCCGUUCUCUUUUCUAUUCCUUUCUCCCUUUAUUUCCCCCCCUCCAUCUUUUCCUUUUCCCCCUUUAUUUCUCCCCUUUUAUUUCCCCCCCUUUCUCACCCCUUUUAUUUCCCUUUUCCAUCCCUUUCCCCCCCUUUUAUCCCCUUUAUUUCCCCCCAUUUCCUUCCCUUUUCCUCCCCCUUUUCCUCCAUUUCCCCCUUUAUUUCCCUUUUAUUUCCUUUAUUCCCCCUUUUCUUUCCUCCCUUUUCCCCCUUUUUCCUAUUUCCUUCUUUUUCCCUUUUUUCCUUUUCCUUUUUCGUUCCCUUUCCUUUAUUUCCCCCUUUAAUUCCAUUCGAUCCCCCCUUGAUUUCCCAUUUAUUCCCUUGAUUUCCCUCUUUAAUCCCCCCCUUAUUUCAUUUUCCCCUAUUUAUUUCCUUUUAGUUCAUUUAUUUCCCCCUUUAUUCCCUUUAUUUCCUUUAUUUUCCCCUUUAUUUCCCCCCUUAUUCAUUUUAUUUCUCCCUUUAUUUCCCUUUAUUUCAUUUAUUUCCCCCUUUAUUCAAUUCGUUUUCCCCUUUAUUCCCUUUAUUUCCACUUUUAUUUCCCCAUUUAUUCCUUUUAUUUUUCCCAUUAUUUCCCUUUAUUUCUCAUUUAUUCCCUUUAUUUCUUUUAUUUCCCCCUUUAUUCCUUUUAUCUCAUUUAUUCCCCUUAUUCCUCCUUUUAUUUCCCCAUUUAUUCCUUUUAUUUUCCCCGUUAUUUCCUUAAUUUCCCCCUUUAUUUCCCUCCUUAUUUCUUCUAUUUCCCCUUUAUUCAAUUUAUUUCCGCCUUUAGUUCACUUAUUUCCCCUCUUAUUUCCCUUUAUUUCAUUUAUUCCCAUUAUUUCCCCUUUUAUUUCCCCCUUUAUUUCCCCUUUUAUUUUCCCAAUUAUUUCUUUUAUUUCUCCCUUUAUUUCCCCUCUUAUUUCUUCUAUUUCCCCCUUUAUUCACUUUUUAUUUCCUCCUUUAUUUCCAUUUAUUUCAUUUAUUUCCCCCUUUAUUCAAUUUAUUUCCUCCUUUAUUCCCUUUAUUUCCCUCCUUAUUUCUUUUAUUUCUCCCUUUAUUUCCCUUUAUUCCAUUUAUUUCCCCCCUUAUUUACUUUAUUUCCUUUAUUUCCCCUUUUAUUUUCCCUCUUAUUUCCCCCUUUAUUCCCUUUAUUUCCCAUUAAUUCAUUUAUUUUUCCCUUUAUUUCCCCCUUUAUUUCCCUCUUAUUUCCCCCUUUUAUUUCCCCUUUUAUUCCCUUUAUUCCCCCCUUUAUUUCAUUUAUUUCCCCCCAUAUUUAUUUCAUUUCUUUUAUUUCCCAUUUUAUUUUCCCUCUUAUUUCCCUCUUUAUUUCCACCUUUAUUCCCUUUAUUUCCCCCUUUAUUUCCCCUUUAUUUCCCCCUUUAUUUCCCCUUUAUUUCCCCCUUUAUUCCCUUUAUUUCCCAUUAUUUCCCCCAUUAUUUCCCCCUUUAUUUCCCCCUUUAUUUCCCCUUUAUUUCCCCCUUUAUUUUCCCCUUUAUUUCCCAUUAUUUCCCCCUUUAUUCCCUUUAUUUCCCAUUAAUUCAUUUAUUUCCCCCAUUAUUUCCCCCUUUAUUUCCCCCUUUAUUUCCCCUUUAUUUCCCCCUUUAUUUUCCCCUUUAUUUCCCAUUAUUUCCCCCUUUAUCCCCCCCCUUUAUUUCCCCCCUCUCAGGGGGGUCCCCCCGCUCAGCCCCCCCCCCCCUUCCCCCCCCCCCCCCCCCCAUAGGGUUUCCUCUAUUCACCAAUGGCCGUAGUAGGAUCCUAAGGCAGGAAGUUACGUGUGCGGGACUCCAUAGGUUUAAAACGUCUCCUUCCCUCCCUAUUGAGCCGGGGGGGGGGAUGCGGGGUUCGGAGCUGCGGCAGAACCGGGCCGGGAGGAAGGGGGGGGUCCCUCGGUACCUCCCGGCCUCCGAGACCCCAUUGAUCCCGGGGCGGGUCGGUUCGGUUCCGUCCAGGUUUAAUACGGAACGGAGACCCCAUGGCCGAGCGGAGCGGAAAGAAGCGGAGCGGCUGAACGAGGGAUGAGCGAUGGACGGACCGAACCCGGACGGACCGAACCCGGACCCGCCGCCGGAGGCUGCGGGAACCAGCCCGGCACUUCGGCCUUCGGCACCGGAACCAACGAGCGAUGCGGCCCGGACAGCGGCAGCCCAACCGGACCGGGGGAACCGGACUGCUGCCGCCGGAUCCUGGUGCGAGGUACGGACCGGAACCGCAGCGCUGACACGGACGGACCCACAGCUCCAGCCCCGUCCAGACCCACAUCCCUCCAUCCCCAUCCCUCCUUCCAUCCCCAUCCCUCCCUCCAUCCCCAUCACUCCCCAUCCAUCCCCAGCCCCAUACAGACC